ACGGAAGGCAGCAGUGGGGAAUAUUGGGCAAUGGGCGAAAGCCUGACCCAGCAACGCCGCGUGAAGGAAGAAGGUCUUCGGAUUGUAAACUUCUUUUAUGAGGGACGAAGGAAGUGACGGUACCUCAUGAAUAAGCCACGGCUAACUACGUGCCAGCAGCCGCGGUAAUACGUAGGUGGCAAGCGUUAUCCGGAUUUACUGGGUGUAAAGGGCGCGUAGGCGGGGAUGCAAGUCAGAUGUGAAAUCUAUGGGAUUAACUGAUAAACUGCAUGUGAAACUGUAUCUCUUGAGUGCUGUAGAGGUAGAUGGAAUUCCUUGUGUAGCGGUGAAAUGCGUAGAGAUAAGGAAGAACACCAGUGGCGAAGGCGAUCUACUGGACAGUAACUGACGCUGAGGCGCGAAAGCGUGGGGAGCAAACAGGAUUAGAUACCCUGGUA
rnacentral:rRNA from 1 species